rnacentral:rRNA from 1 species
UACGUAGGGCGCAAGCGUUGUCCGGAAUUAUUGGGCGUAAAGAGCUCGUAGGCGGCUUGUCACGUCGGGUGUGAAAACCCGGGGCUUAACCCCGGGUCUGCAUUCGAUACGGGCAGGCUAGAGUGUGGUAGGGGAGAUCGGAAUUCCUGGUGUAGCGGUGAAAUGCGCAGAUAUCAGGAGGAACACCGGUGGCGAAGGCGGAUCUCUGGGCCAUUACUGACGCUGAGAAGCGAAAGCAUGGGGAGCGAACAGG